GUCUGGCCUGCCCACUGAAUUGUUUUAAAGGGCCGCGGUAAUUUGACCGUGCGAAGGUAGCAUAAUCAAUAGUCUUUUAAUUGGGGGCUGGAAUGAAUGGUCGGACAAAGAGUAAGCUGUCUUUCUUAUAAUUUUUGAAUUUUACUUUCAAGUGAAAAGGCUUGAAUAUUUUAAGGGGACGAUAAGACCCUAUAAAACUUUACAAAAAGACUAUAUUUUUUAAAUUAUAGUUUAAUAUUGAUUAUAGUUUAUUUGUUGUGUUGGGGUGACAAAGAUAUAAUUGAGUAACUGUUGUUGGUAUAAAAUAGUUAUAUUUAGUUUAGUUGAUCCUUUAUUUAGAGAUUAAAAGAUUAAGUUACUUUAGGGAUAACAGCGUAAUUUUCUCUGAGAGUCCUUAUCGACGAGAGUAGUUGCGACCUCGAUGUUGAAUUAAAAUUUCUUUUAAGUGUAGCAGCUUAGUGAGUGGGUCUGUUCGACCUU
rnacentral:rRNA from 1 species